rnacentral:rRNA from 1 species
CACGUGAUAUCCUGUCUGAAUAUGGGGGGACCAUCCUCCAAGGCUAAAUACUCCUGACUGACCGAUAGUGAACCAGUACCGUGAGGGAAAGGCGAAAAGAACCCCUGUGAGGGGAGUGAAAUAGAACCUGAAACCGUGUACGUACAAGCAGUAGGAGCACCUUCGUGGUGUGACUGCGUACCUUUUGUAUAAUGGGUCAGCGACUUAUAUUCAGUGGCAAGGUUAACCGUAUAGGGGAGCCGUAGCGAAAGCGAGUCUUAACUGGGCGCUCAGUCUCUGGAUAUAGACCCGAAACCGGGUGAUCUAGCCAUGGGCAGGUUGAAGGUUGAGUAACAUCAACUGGAGGACCGAACCGACUAAUGUUGAAAAAUUAGCGGAUGACUUGUGGCUAGGGGUGAAAGGCCAAUCAAACUCGGAGAUAGCUGGUUCUCCCCGAAAGCUAUUUAGGUAGCGCCUCGGACGAAUACUACUGGGGGUAGAGCACUGUUAAGGCUAGGGGGUCAUCCCGACUUACCAACCCUUUGCAAACUCCGAAUACCAGUAAGUACUAUCCGGGAGACACACGGCGGGUGCUAACGUCCGUCGUGGAGAGGGAAACAACCCAGACCGCCAGCUAAGGUCCCAAAGUAUUGCUAAGUGGGAAACGAUGUGGGAAGGCUCAGACAGCUAGGAUGUUGGCUUAGAAGCAGCCAUCAUUUAAAGAAAGCGUAAUAGCUCACUAGUCGAGUCGGCCUGCGCGGAAGAUGUAACGGGGCUAAGCAAUACACCGAAGCUGCGGCAAUGUCUUUUAGACAUUGGGUAGGGGAGCGUUCUGUAAGCCGUUGAAGGUGAAUCGUAAGGUUUGCUGGAGGUAUCAGAAGUGCGAAUGCUGACAUGAGUAACGACAAAGGGGGUGAAAAACCUCCUCGCCGGAAGACCAAGGGUUCCUGUCCAACGUUAAUCGGGGCAGGGUGAGUCGACCCCUAAGGUGAGGCCGAAAGGCGUAAUCGAUGGGAAACGGGUUAAUAUUCCCGUACUUCUGACUAUUGCGAUGGGGGGACGGAGAAGGCUAGGUGGGCCAGGCGACGGUUGUCCUGGUUCAAGUGCGUAGGCUUGAGAGUUAGGUAAAUCCGGCUCUCUUUAAGGCUGAGACACGACGUCGAGCUACUACGGUAGUGAAGUCAUUGAUGCCAUGCUUCCAGGAAAAGCCUCUAAGCUUCAGAUAGUCAGGAAUCGUACCCCAAACCGACACAGGUGGUCGGGUAGAGAAUACCAAGGCGCUUGAGAGAACUCGGGUGAAGGAACUAGGCAAAAUGGUACCGUAACUUCGGGAGAAGGUACGCUCUUGAUGGUGAAGUCCCUCGCGGAUGGAGCUGACGAGAGUCGCAGAUACCAGGUGGCUGCAACUGUUUAUUAAAAACACAGCACUGUGCAAAAUCGCAAGAUGACGUAUACGGUGUGACGCCUGCCCGGUGCCGGAAGGUUAAUUGAUGGGGUUAGCGCAAGCGAAGCUCUUGAUCGAAGCCCCGGUAAACGGCGGCCGUAACUAUAACGGUCCUAAGGUAGCGAAAUUCCUUGUCGGGUAAGUUCCGACCUGCACGAAUGGCGUAAUGAUGGCCACGCUGUCUCCACCCGAGACUCAGUGAAAUUGAAAUCGCUGUGAAGAUGCAGUGUACCCGCGGCUAGACGGAAAGACCCCGUGAACCUUUACUACAGCUUGGCACUGAACAUUGAACCUACAUGUGUAGGAUAGGUGGGAGGCUACGAAGACGUGACGCUAGUUGCGUUGGAGCCGUCCUUGAAAUACCACCCUUGUAUGUUUGAUGUUCUAACUUAGACCCGUUAUCCGGGUUGAGGACAGUGCCUGGUGGGUAGUUUGACUGGGGCGGUCUCCUCCCAAAGAGUAACGGAGGAGCACGAAGGUGGGCUAAUCACGGUUGGACAUCGUGAGGUUAGUGCAAUGGCAUAAGCCCGCUUAACUGCGAGAAUGACGGUUCGAGCAGGUGCGAAAGCAGGUCAUAGUGAUCCGGUGGUUCUGUAUGGAAGGGCCAUCGCUCAACGGAUAAAAGGUACUCCGGGGAUAACAGGCUGAUACCGCCCAAGAGUUCAUAUCGACGGCGGUGUUUGGCACCUCGAUGUCGGCUCAUCACAUCCUGGGGCUGAAGUCGGUCCCAAGGGUAUGGCUGUUCGCCAUUUAAAGUGGUACGCGAGCUGGGUUUAGAACGUCGUGAGACAGUUCGGUCCCUAUCUGCCGUGGGCGUUGGAAGAUUGAAGGGGGCUGCUCCUAGUACGAGAGGACCGGAGUGGACGAACCUCUGGUGUUCGGGUUGUGUCGCCAGACGCAUUGCCCGGUAGCUAAGUUCGGAAUUGAUAAGCGCUGAAAGCAUCUAAGCGCGAAGCGAGC